UACGUAGGGGGCAAGCGUUGUCCGGAUUUAUUGGGCGUAAGGAGCGUGUAGGCGGCUAGAUAGGUCCGUUGUGAAAACUCGAGGCUCAACCUCGAGACGUCGAUGGAAACCAUCUGGCUAGAGUCCGGAAGAGGAGAGUGGAAUUCCUGGUGUAGCGGUGAAAUGCGCAGAUAUCAGGAAGGACACCCGUGGCGAAGGCGGCUCUCUGGUACGUGACUGACGCUGAGACGCGAAAGCGUGGGGAGCAAACAGG
rnacentral:rRNA from 1 species